rnacentral:lncRNA from 1 species
AAGGUCAAAAUUCAUAAUCAAACUGACUUCAAAAUCUAUUUUUAACUAUUUCACUUCAGAUCUCCAAGACUUGGGCUGCAUAUUGCAUCAAGGAAGUGAAGCAGGAGUUCAAAAGAAAAAAUCAAGUUUCUCAAACUUCCCCUUCUCUACAGCCAUUGUUCUUUGUUCUAAUACAGAUAAAAGCAGUCACUUUUGUCCCUGUUUGGUGGAGCCCAGGCUGUUCCUUCUAAAAGCUCCUUGUUGCUCAAAAGGAUGAUGGGGGUCAAUGGCCUUGACUCUGUUGGUGACUCCUUCCCAGGUCUCAACUCUUCUCUUUGUUUAACUUGAUCUUUAACACCCCCU